GCCGUCAUGGUGUAACGCGGUCAAGCAUCGACGUCCUUCGAACGUCGGGCGCCGGUUCGACUCCGGCUGACGGCA
rnacentral:tRNA from 1 species